rnacentral:rRNA from 1 species
GACGAACGCUGGCGGCGUGCUUAACACAUGCAAGUCGAACGGAAAGGCCCUGCUUUUGUGGGGUGCUCGAGUGGCGAACGGGUGAGUAACACGUGAGUAACCUGCCCUUGACUUUGGGAUAACUUCAGGAAACUGGGGCUAAUACCGGAUAGGAGCUCCUGCUGCAUGGUGGUGGUUGGAAAGUUUCGGCGGUUGGGGAUGGACGCGCGGCUUAUCAGCUUGUUGGUGGGGUAGUUGCUUACCAAGGCUUUGACGGGUAGCCGGCCUGAGAGGGUGACCGGCCACAUUGGGACUGAGAUACGGCCCAGACGCCUACGGGAGGCAGCAGUGGGGAAUAUUGCACAAUGGGCGGAAGCCUGAUGCAGCAACGCCGCGUGCGGGAUGACGGCCUGCGGGUUGUAAACCGCUGUCGCCUGUGACGAAGCGUGAGUGACGGUAAUGGGUAAAGAAGCACCGGCUAACUACGUG